UCAAUGGGUCCGUCUAUCGCUGCAGAUAGCCUCGCAAUUACUUCUACACAGCACAGGUUUCUCUGCCUCGCCAGACCAUUCAUCCCCUUGCGGCGGCAGCUGGGCGUGCGAGGGAUCGCCAUGGGAUAGGCUUGAGUUCUUCGAGGAAGCCGAAUCAGGCUUGAUUCCUAUGGUCGAUGCCAGGGAUCUCUUGGGGGGAGAUGUGGCUGUUGUGCAAUCCGUCGUUGCUUCAAUCCAUAAAGCAUCCCACAACUGUGUGUGCAAAAUGGGCUAAAAACUACAGGAUUAGGAUUGGCAAAGUGUCAGAUGAGACGGAAAGCAAUCCAAGUCGAGUUCCUGCGCUCGAGGCUUCGAUGCGUGCUUAUGUAGACAAGAAAGCUGGUACUAUUGUUCAUCCUGUAUUGGGGACAAGUUUUGACUUGGUCGAAGAACCUUACGAGUUUUACAAUAUUACUCAUGGGAUACUGUAUUUUGGCGUCAGGUGUGCUAAAAGCCGGUUGAACGUUCAUCGGAAAAAAUGCAUCCAGGAAAUUGUGUGCAUGUGUGCGGUAAGCAGUGGAACACUUAUAAGGUAAACCAUUGCAAUCAAAUAGCCGUUCCACACUUUGUGGCUUCACUGCCAUGAUGACGGUCCUUAGAUAAGAUGAUAAGGGAUUAAGGGCUGGUACGUUUGUAAACACAGGGCAGAGCACAACCAGACUUUCUGUCAACUAUAUGGAGAAAUUACACUGGAAGUCUCAUCGGCACAUAGAUAGAUACACAAGGGACCUUGUGAAACAACCGAGGGAAAAAUGUAAGCAUAAACAAGGUUUACAGUGUAGUUGGCAGUUUUUUUGGUUCAGUAAAAGAGGCACCAUUCACCAAAAGGUCUCUGAAGAAGCUUAACCAAGAGCAAUCAGGAAAUGAUGCAACAAAGACCAUAGAGGUGUUCAACGCGAUGAGGGGUGAAGAUCCUGAUUUCACAUACAGUGUACAGGUUAACGAGGUGGGUCGAGUGAAAAAUCUGAUGUGGACAAUGGGAAAAAUCCAACACAAAAGUGGAGGCCAAAAUCCAGCACAGAGUGCCUCGCAAUGUUCUGAUUGUUUUGCAGCACCGACAAAGAAAAGGGCAGCUGGACGCCCUAGCACAAGUCGCGGCAAAGCACCAUAUGAGCAACCAAAAAAGAGGUCUAGGUUCUGUUCUAUCUGCAGAGGUUAAGGUCACAAGAGCACCACUUUUCCGCAACGAGGAGAUCUUCCAAAGGCGCCGAGGAAGUCGCCUCGAUGCUCCAGAUGCAGCUGGUGAGGUCACAGGAAGAACACUUGCACCAACCCGCCCAAAGCAGACUUUGGAGACUGAUUUUAGAAUGGCUCGUAUUUGAAAAUUCAGAUUGCUAACUGAACAAAUCCGUUGUGUAUCGAGUUUGCACUAUAAUGCUUCUUUGGGUGUGAUUUGAUUUCCUUGUU